CUUUCAAAAAUCUGUUUCAUCUAAUGAGGUAGGAUACUAUAUACAAGUUGAUAUAUCCUUACAAUAUUAUAUUUUUAUUAUGUAAUUUAUUUCAUGAAUUGCUAAUUGACCUAUUGGUCUUAAUGAAAUGAAUGUGAUAUGCCUUCAGAAUUUCUCAAUUAUUUGCAUAGAAAUGUGUUAAAGCAUUCAAUUGAUCUCCAACUGCUCUCAAUAAAACGGUGGUAUGAAAUGCCAUAAUUUAUGUUUAAAAUUUAUAUUUUUUUUUUGGAUGCGUGUAUCCUACUGGGUUUUAAAUUACUCAUUUUUUCAAAAUUUAACAUUUCACGUUAGAUUGAUCAAAGUGAAUGGUGGUUGAGUGGUACAUAAGUUGCCAAAGUAAAAAAUUUUAAGAAAACAUUCAGGAAAAAAAUUUAUGUAGAUUUUAAUAAUUUUUUUCUAUGCUAUUAAAUAUUCUUAAUUUCAUGACUCUAUUUCAAUUUAUGAAAUGAUAUCAACUACAACCCAGAUAUUAAGUCAAUAAAAUUGGGAACAUUGCAGUUUGGUAUCAGGGCAAAAGUUUAUCUAUCUGCAGCCAAAAUAAAAAUUAUCAAAAUGUAUCCACAGAUAAAUGUUAAUUAAAAAUAAUUUUUUAGUUACUGUUCACGGUGUGAACAUUGAAUAAUAAUAAUAAUAAUAAUAAUAAUAAUAAU
rnacentral:lncRNA from 1 species